UGGGGAAUUUUGGACAAUGGGGGCAACCCUGAUCCAGCAAUGCCGCGUGAGUGAAGAAGGCCUUCGGGUUGUAAAGCUCUUUUGUCAGGGAAGAAACAGGUUAUGCUAAUACCAUGACUGAAUGACGGUACCUGAAGAAUAAGCACCGGCUAACUACGUGCCAGCAGCCGCGGUAAUACGUAGGGUGCGAGCGUUAAUCGGAAUUACUGGGCGUAAAGCGUGCGCAGGCGGUUGUGUAAGACAGGUGUGAAAUGCCCGGGCUUAACCUGGGGACUGCACUUGUGACUGCACGGCUGGAGUGUGUCAGAGGGGGGUAGAAUUCCACGUGUAGCAGUGAAAUGCGUAGAUAUGUGGAGGAAUACCGAUGGCGAAGGCAGCCCCCUGGGAUAACACUGACGCUCAUGCACGAAAGCGUGGGGAGCAAACAGG
rnacentral:rRNA from 1 species